rnacentral:rRNA from 1 species
ACCCUUAGACGUCCUGGGCCGCACGCGCGCUACAAUGACUCAUGCAACAAGUUCUUCCAAACUCGAAAGAGGUCAGGAAAUCUUUAUAAUGUGAGUCGUACUAGUAGGGAUUGAUCUUUGCAAUUCUGGAUCAUGAACGAGGAAUUCCUAGUAAGCAUAAGUCAUCAACUUGUGCUGAUUACGUCCCUGCCCUUUGUACACACCGCCCGUCGCUCCUACCGAUUGGAUGGUCCGGUGAACUUUUUGGACUUGUAGCAAUGUUAUGAGAAAGUUAAGUAAACCUUAUCAUUUAGAGGAAGGAAAAGUCGUAACA